AAAACCCUAAAACGGCUGGAGUCAUAUUCUAACUCAUUCCUAUCAACAUUCCUCUCAAUUUUAAUCCUUGGCUGAUUUGGGUUGAUUGAUUUCUGGGUUUUAUUGUUCUUAGUCUAAUCAAGAGACUCGUCGACUGCUCGUGCUUCGGAGUCUACGCAGGGUUAGCUGUUUGCUAAGAUUCACGCGGAUAAGAAAGCAGUGAGUUUGUAGUGCUAUUUACCGCUUUAUU